rnacentral:lncRNA from 1 species
GCGACGACGACGCGACCAAGCACCGUUUUUUUGGGCGAAUCAUUCGCGAAUCGCGAAUGAUUCGCGGAUAAUUAUAUUUGACGAAAAAAUCGCGUUUUUUUUUCAAAUUUUUCAGAAAAAUACGGAUGCGGACGAUUAAUUCGGAUUUUUAAAAAUUCGCGAAUAAUUCGCGAAUUAACUAACUGUGACGCAGAGUCGAAGUAUGCCAUCCUUUU